rnacentral:misc_RNA from 1 species
CGGCCAUUCUCUACUCAGUUCCCGCAAUAUCUGAUUCACCUUAAAGAUAGAAAAGUUAGUUCUUCCUAGUACAAUGCUCUCACGAUAUGUAUACAUUGGGUUCUUUCCAGAAGGGCAACUAAAAACUCCAGUUCCAUGUUCGCAAAACCCAAAAGACCAUUCAUCAUCUCCAUACACCUGCACAGCGCUGUGGAAGAUGCCACCAAAGCCAAUACCGUCCUUGAAAAUCUUGUUGAUCUGCAUAAUGGUGUUGUUGGUCUUCUCCGAUCCACUAUUCGUCACAUCGUAUAUAUGCAAUAUCACAUCCGUCAUCUUUAUCAACAAAGCUCUAACCCUAACCCUAACUUCAAACUUCCUAUCCCCUCUCUCUCGGCCCUCUUUAUAAUAUCCGAUUCACACAGAAACUUGUCACAGUCUUUCCUCUUUCUGUCUCCUUCGCUUUUAAAUCUCUCCCUCUCCUCCCUCUCUCUCUCCGUUCAAUUAGAGGAACAGAGAAUUUCCACAUUCAAUUUUCGCUCUCACUGAGAUUUAAUUUGAAUACGACACUUUUUCUGUUUUUGCCUGGAAGUGAA